rfam:Pan troglodytes isolate Yerkes chimp pedigree #C0471 (Clint) chromosome 1, whole genome shotgun sequence.
UUUUUAGGAUAAGUAUAUCCCAUGUGAUAUGCUUUGGGACAUACUUAUACUAAAA